rnacentral:rRNA from 1 species
AACGAACGCUGGCGGCGUGCCUAACACAUGCAAGUCGAACGGAGUUAUAGUUGUAGCAAUACAGGUAUAGCUUAGUGGCGGACGGGUGAGUAACACGUAGGUAACCUACCCUUAGGCGGGGGACAACUCAGGGAAACUUGAGCUAAUACCGCAUAAAUCCACGGGCUGGGAUGCUUGUGGGGAAAGUGGCAACACACCUAAGGAUGGGCCUGCGGCCUAUCAGGUAGUUGGUGGGGUAAGAGCCCACCAAGCCGAAGACGGGUAGCCGGGCUGAGAGGUUGAACGGCCACACUGGAACUGAGACACGGUCCAGACUCCUACGGGAGGCAGCAGUGGGGAAUCUUGCGCAAUGGGGGAAACCCUGACGCAGCGACGCCGCGUGGAGGAUGAAGGUCUUCGGGUUGUAAACUCCUUUUCUUGG